UACGUAGGGUGCGAGCGUUAAUCGGAAUUACUGGGCGUAAAGCGUGCGCAGGCGGCUUUUUAAGACAGGCGUGAAAUCCCCGGGCUUAACCUGGGAACUGCGCUUGUGACUGGAAGGCUAGAGUACGGCAGAGGGGGGUGGAAUUCCACGUGUAGCAGUGAAAUGCGUAGAGAUGUGGAGGAACACCGAUGGCGAAGGCAGCCCCCUGGGCCGAUACUGACGCUCAUGCACGAAAGCGUGGGGAGCAAACAGG
rnacentral:rRNA from 1 species